GUCCGCUAACGAGCGCAACCCUCGUCGUAUGUUAUAUGUGUCAUACGAGACUGCCGGUAAAAAGGACCGGAGGAAGGUGAGGAUGAUGUCAAGUCAGCAUGACCUUUAUAUCCAGGGCUACACACACGCUACAAUGGUCUGUACAAUGGGUAGCCAAGCCGCGAGGCGGAGCCAAUCCUGAAAGCAGGCCUCAGUUCAGAUUGCAGUCUGCAACUCGACUGCAUGAAGCCGGAGUUGCUAGUAACCGCAGGUCAGCAAUACUGCGGUGAAUACGUUCCCGGGUCUU
rnacentral:rRNA from 1 species